GGGUUCAUGGGAAAAGGGGGGAGGGACAAAUGGCAGUUCAAUUUGAUUGACAUGUCACCCUUCAAUCAUUUUAAUGGGUCAGUUAAAAUGAUUGGAUGGUGUUUUUUUCAGUCCUGUCCGUUCCACAGGUGACCAAUUUUUU